CCUACGGGCGGCAGCAGUGAGGAAUAUUGGUCAAUGGACGUGAGUCUGAACCAGCCAAGUAGCGUGAAGGAUGACUGCCCUAUGGGUUGUAAACUUCUUUUAUAUGGGAAUAAAACGUUCCACGUGUGGGAUUUUGUAUGUACCAUAUGAAUAAGGAUCGGCUAACUCCGUGCCAGCAGCCGCGGUAAUACGGAGGAUCCGAGCGUUAUCCGGAUUUAUUGGGUUUAAAGGGAGCGUAGGUGGAUUGUUAAGUCAGUUGUGAAAGUUUGCGGUUCAACCGUAAAAUUGCAGUUGAAACUGGCAGUCUUGAGUACAGUAGAGGUGGGCGGAAUUCGUGGUGUAGCGGUGAAAUGCUUAGAUAUCACGAAGAACUCCGAUUGCGAAGGCAGUUCACUGGACUGCAACUGACACUGAGGCUCGAAAGUGUGGGUAUCAAACAGGAUUAGAUACCCUAGUAGUC
rnacentral:rRNA from 1 species